AGGUUCUUUUUCAAAGAGCUCUCGCCGAGCAGCGAACCCUAAUCCUCUCUCUUUUUUCCCCUCCCUCUCUUUCUCUGUAACGAAACCCAAAAAUGUCUCACUUUGGCAGGUCUGGUCCUCCAGAUAUCACCGACACAUACUCUCUUCUCGUUCUCAACAUAACCUUUCGUACGACUGCUGAUGAUCUGUUCCCGCUUUUCGACAAGUAUGGGAAGGUUGUUGACAUCUUUAUCCCCAGAGAUCGAAGGACUGGUGACUCGCGAGGAUUUGCAUUUGUGCGGUAUAAGUAUGCAGAUGAGGCACAGAAGGCAGUUGAUAGGCUAGAUGGAAGAGUUGUUGAUGGGCGUGAAAUAACAGUUCAAUUUGCAAAAUAUGGUCCCAAUGCUGAGAGAAUUCAUAAAGGAAGGAUUAUUGAACCUGUUCCAAGGUCUAGAAACAAGUCCCGAAGUCGAAGUCCUCGAAGAAGGUACCGAGAUGACUAUAAAGACAGGGACUAUAGGAGGAGAAGUCGCAGCAGAAGCUUGGACAGAUAUGAGCGGGACAAGGGUCGUGGUAAGGAUAGAGACCAUCGUCGACGGAGCAGGAGUCGCAGUGCCAGUCCUGAUUACUCUAGAGGUCGAGGCAGAGGCCGUUAUGAUGAUGAACGGCGGAGUAGCAGUAGAUCGGCUGAUAGUGCGUCCCCUAGACGAAGCCCAAGUCCUCGAAGGAGUUCUUCCCCACGCAAGAAUUCUCCUUCAAAGGGUGAAAGCCCUGAUAGGCGCAGCCGUGAUGGUCGUUCUCCAACUCCACGAAGUGCCUCCCCACGGGGCUGGCCUGCUGCUUCUCGUAGUCCAUCCCGUCGAAAUUCAGAUGUUGAUGAAUGAACGAGCAGCUGUAAGGGAAAGAUGUGGAGACAUGAGACUGUUGCAAUUAUUAUAGCCAUGUUACUAAUCUUGAGGACUUACGAGCAUCAUAAGUGUUCUGUUUGUUCCGGAAAGAUUCCUAUGGGGGCAGAUGUCCAGAGUGUUGAUGUUGUGGCUAUUGUGGCUGUUGAUGCUGUUUGUAAAAUGUAGAUGGAUGAUCGUGGUUGUUGAUUACUCAAAAUUAUCUGAUGAUUGUUGCUGUGAUGGUUUAAAAGUUGCACACAAGAUGAACGUGUUUUACCUAUAGCUGAUGCAGCACAUGAAGUGGACCUGUUACUCAGCAGUUCUCUUGCUGAUACUAAAUAUCAAACAUAAUAUGCUGCUCUGAAUUUCACAGCUGAAGUAACUGGUCAUGUGAGUAGCAUACGAGUCCGUGAUUGUAGCUGUGAAGUGGUAGCUGAUACCUGUUCUUUUGUGUGAUAUUCUUGGGUUCGUGAGUAACUUGUGCAAGUACUAAUGAAUAACCACCUGUAGCGGGCUGUUGCUGCCCUUCUUGAUGGGACCGGGUCGUUAUUGAUACUAUCCAUUUUGAUGUUGACGAUGGCUGCCUAGCUGUGUUGCUGGCUUGGGGUCAAUUCCAAAGAUGCUUUGACUUGUAAGAUUGCCUCUUGCCAUGUGCGGUUAACAUGAUUUCAGUUUUGCUGCAUAAGUUGUCCUUAAGUUUUUGCCUUACAAGUUCUUUAUCAUGUCUGUAUGAAACAUUUGUGCUUCACUUACCUUUGAUUUACUUCAGCAUAAACUUGUUUCUACUGCAUGCUUUAUGUUGCUAAUUCUGUGCUUUCUGAGUGGCACUUGAAUGAUAAGAUGCAAAAUGCCUUUUGAAUUAUCAUUUUGUGCAUUGAACUAAGCAAAAGAAUUUUGGGAAAGUAUUGAUUGCAUGAUGAUUAAUGGUUGGUGUUGUCUAUGUGUUCUUUGGAGUUCUGAUGUCCAGUUUUGUCAUUUCAAUUUGCCAUUUUAAGAAAAUUUGUGCGUUUUGAGUGUAUACCUUUUGUUCUCGUUCUCACAUCUUGUGAAAGCUGCUAUCCUAGUUUUCCUUUUCUAAUAAAUAAUAAGUUGUGGGGUGUUGGAAGGUGAUUGAGAAAAUAUCAGUCAACUGACAAUUAUUGGCAAUGCCACAGCUUUUGUAUAGAAAAGUUUGUCACCUGCAGAAGGAAGGAUUGCAUUAGUGUAUGCCUUUCAUCGUUGGUGUGUUGCAUUUUGACAUCAUAUUUUUUUGGAAUAUUGAAACAAUGUCAAAAUAACAUUUGGACAUUAUAUAAUAUCAAAGUGUAAUGACAUGAAGUGUAUGGCUGAUUUUCCUUGGCAGUUGGGAAAUUUAUAAGCUUAUCAUUUAUAAGAAACUCAUUUCAUUUUUGUCGUGUUUUAAUAUGCAUAAGAUGUUCAACCUACAUUGGAUUUUUCUUUUAAUUUUAUUUUGGA